GACAUUGAUCCUGGGCAAGAUAAUCGGGCCGCUGAUAUGAGACUCAAUUAAUAAAAAAUUAAAAGACAGUAAUACAAUUAAUGCCAAUCAACAUGGGGUUAUGGAAAAAAGGUCACAUCAAACAGUACCUGUAAUGUCAUCAAAAAAUAUAAUUGAUAAAAGUAACAGUGUCAAUGUAAUAUAUUAAGACUUCUGUAAAACAUAUGAUUUGGUGCCACAAGACAUUUUGAUUAAAAAACUAGAACGAUAUAAAGUUAAUAAGCCACAUAUUAAAUAGAUUAAAAAUAGGCUAACUGAUAAGUUUCAAAAUGUCAUUGUAAAAGGUGAAUGACCAUUGAAUAAUUGUAUUUCUAGGGGAUCCUGCAGGGAUUGGUUCUUGGCCCAACGCUAUUUAACAUUUUUCUCAAUGUUGAAAAAAACAAAAUCAUCACUGCUAAAGUUUGCAAAUGCUACAAAAAUUGGGAGAGCUGCAAAUAAUGAAGAGGACAGGUCAUUGAUACAGAGCAAUCUGGAUUGCUUGUGGAUGGUGAUAUGGCAAGCUGGAGCUGCUCUGGUGUCUCUCUUACCUCAUUGUUGAUGAAGCAGUAGAGAAUCGCCACCAUGAGUCCCUGAAAUCCAACAAGACAACAGUCAGAAAAACAGCCCACAGAAAUGCUCCAAGUUUUGCUAGUCAAACCUGCAGGGGGAGGAGAAUCUCAUUCCAACAUAGAAUGCUCCAUAGUUAGAGAAAAAACAGAAAAGUGGAUGAGAGUUUAUUCCUCUCUGCUGAGAAAAAUCUUGAUGACAUGAUCCCAAACAGGUCCCACAGGACACAAACGUUUUUAGGUUCCACUAACCCUUGCGCC